AGUGAACGCUGGCGGUAGGCCUAACACAUGCAAGUUGAACGGCAGCACAGUAAGAGCUUGCUCUUACGGGUGGCGAGUGGCGGACGGGUGAGGAAUACAUCGGAAUCUACUUUUUCGUGGGGGAUAACGUAGGGAAACUUACGCUAAUACCGCAUACGACCUACGGGUGAAAGCAGGGGAUCUUCGGACCUUGCGCGAUUGAAUGAGCCGAUGUCGGAUUAGCUAGUUGGCGGAGUAAAGGCCCACCAAGGCGACGAUCCGUAGCUGGUCUGAGAGGAUGAUCAGCCACACUGGAACUGAGACACGGUCCAGACUCCUACGGGAGGCAGCAGUGGGGAAUAUUGGACAAUGGGCGCAAGCCUGAUCCAGCCAUACCGCGUGGGUGAAGAAGGCCUUCGGGUUGUAAAGCCCUUUUGUUGGGAAAGAAAAGCAGCAGGUUAAUACCCCGCUGUUCUGACGGUACCCAAAGAAUAAGCACCGGCUAACUUCGUG
rnacentral:rRNA from 1 species